rnacentral:tRNA from 1 species
UGCCCGAUGGUGUAACGGUAGCACGGUGGAUUUUGGUUCCAUCGGUCCAGGUUCGAACCCUGGUCGGGCAGCCA